CUCUUCCUCGCGAGUUAUUUCCUCAUAAAACACGCGGACAAAAUCAGCACUAAGCGUCGAGCCUAUCAGUUAUUUCGCGCUCUUCGACUACAUGCUGUUAUCUCCUCUUGCGCAGCCGAAAACACACAAAACGAAGUGGAAUCAGUUGAUCGCGCACGAUAGUCAUGCAAGACGGGACAGAACGGGCGUGCGACUCCAUGGCAAAGCAAAGUUGGAGAAUUCACAACUCAUAUCCCUCAUAUAUGGAGCAAUCGAGAUGUUAUUUCUUAAUGGUGUCACGUGAACAGCCUGCGGACGCCAUGAAUUGUGCAGAAAAAAGGGAAAACGCCAAAUAAUUCGGUCGUACUUCCUAUCUUCAGAGGUUGUUUAGGGGCCCUUUAAAUGUAUUACUCUUCACUUUCGGAUGCAAUCUGCCCUUCAAUCAAAACAGCUUCGGCAGCUUCCAGUUCC
rnacentral:lncRNA from 1 species